UACAGAGGUCUCGAGCGUUAAUCGGAGUCACUGGGCUUAAAGGGUGCGUAGGCGGCGCUGCAAGUGCCUUGUGAAAUCCCACGGCUCAACCGUGGAAUUGCUCGGCAGACUGCGGCGCUUGAGGUCGGUAGGGGUCGCUGGAACUCUAGGUGGAGCGGUGAAAUGCGUAGAUAUCUAGAGGAACGCCAAAGGUGAAGACAGGCGACUGGGCCGAUUCUGACGCUGAGGCACGAAAGCGUGGGGAGCGAACGGG
rnacentral:rRNA from 1 species